AUUGAACGCUGGCGGCAUGCCUUACACAUGCAAGUCGAACGGUAACGCGGGGCAACCUGGCGACGAGUGGCGAACGGGUGAGUAAUGUAUCGGAACGUGCCCAGUUGUGGGGGAUAACUGCUCGAAAGAGCAGCUAAUACCGCAUACGACCUGAGGGUGAAAGCGGGGGAUCGCAAGACCUCGCGCAAUUGGAGCGGCCGAUAUCAGAUUAGGUAGUUGGUGAGGUAAAGGCUCACCAAGCCGACGAUCUGUAGCUGGUCUGAGAGGACGACCAGCCACACUGGGACUGAGACACGGCCCAGACUCCUACGGGAGGCAGCAGUGGGGAAUCUUGGACAAUGGACGCAAGUCUGAUCCAGCCAUGCCGCGUGCGGGAGGAAGGCCUUCGGGUUGUAAACCGCUUUUGUCAGGGAAGAAACGCUCUGGGUUAAUACCUCGGGGUAAUGACGGUACCUGAAGAAUAAGCACCGGCUAACUACGUGCCAGCAGCCGCAGUAAAAC
rnacentral:rRNA from 1 species